CCUCGUGGGCCGCUCACUUUCUUGGGUUUAGUCUAGACGCCUCGUGCAAUGCCGGUGCUUUUUGUUUAGGGAAUAAUCUGAUGAUGGAGCCUCAAGUCUUUCAAGCAGUACAAGUGUUAUUGUGUGGCAGAGAUUAAGGACUUAAAACACUUUUUUAGGGUUGUGUAGGUAUAACUUGACUUGUUACAGUGUCUGAUCUGCAUUGCACUGGAAAUGUGACUUGUGCCUCAUGUAUUUUUUUAUUUAUUUUGUGUUUAUUUCUUCUUAAAAGUUUAUAUUUUUCAAGAGAAAUAAAAAUUGGAAGAUUCCA